CUCAUUCUUGUUCUUCCUUUCUUUUUCUUUUUCACUCUACACAACACACACGCACGCACUCCUUUCCCUCAUUCUCCCACCGGUACACUCCUCAUCACCUCCACCAUUUUUUUUUCUAGCAAGAUCACUGGAAAACCCUCAAGAACAUCACACCUUCACAUAAGUUGUUUGAGGUUCUAACUAAUCUUAUUUGGAGCUUGGAAAAUUAGGCUUUUGUGGGUUGCAAGGUAAGUAGUUUUUUAAUGAGAUAUUUUUUGCAAACUAACCAUGUUGCAUAAACGUCAUUUUUGGAUCAAACACAUUUUGGAAAAUUAUUUGUGGGAUUAUACUUUCUUAAAAAGUAUUGUGUUGUGACCUUAUUGUAUACGACUAUUUUUGAAAAAUGACAUCAUAUUUGGCAAUGCAUAUGUGGAAAUGUAUGAUUUGUUAGCAUGGAAAAGAGUAGCAUCUUUGAUUAAAUUCUUGAGAAUGGGUUUUAUUUCUGAUUGCAUUAUUUGCAAAAUUAAAGAUGCUUUGAUAUUUGGGAAAAUUGAUACAAAAUCUUCUUGACAAGAAAUGAGUUUGAUGGCUUUGAGAACUUUGUAUAUAUUUUGGAUAUUUCAAAAGUUUUUGUGAAACUACUUGAAAUUAAACUGUGUUUUGAAUUCCUGUAAACUGUGAGCUCUUUAUAUUUUAGGCUAUGACAUGUGAUUACCCAACUAUAUACUCUAGUCUGUGUGACAUUAGUAUCUUAGCACCCGUCUUUGUGAUGGUUAUGAGUUCCAGCUUUGUGUCGGCGAAGAGUUCCGGCUUUGUGUCGGUAGAUUAGUUCCGGCUUUGUGUCGGUGAUGAGUUUCGACUUUGUGUCGGUGAUGAGUUUCGACUUUGUGUCGGUGAUGAGUUCCGGUUUUGUGUCGGUGAUGAGUUCCGGCUUUGUGUCAGCAGAUCAGUUCCGGCUUUGUGUCAUUAAUGAGCUCUAGCUUUCUGUCAGCGAUUGUCAUGUGGCCUUAGGUUAGAUUUUCUGGUUUGGAAUGGUGGUGUUAUUGCUCACAGUGUAUAUUACGUAGUUUCAUGUUGAGAUAUAUUAAGGAAUAUUAUAUAUGUAAUUUCAUAAGAACAUUUUGAGAA